ACGUCUCAGAGGAAAGAGGGGGCGGGAGGAAAGGGAAGGGGUACGGGAGAAAGACAGGCAGGCAGGCAGGGUGUUUCCUUAACUCCAAGGAAGAGUUUAAUCAAGUUAAUAUAUUAUUGUGGGCUAUUAAAACGAUACACCACUGGGAAACCGUACGUUAUCAAAUUUUAAAAGACACAAACAAGAGAAGGAGACCGCGAUGUUGGGAAUAGGAAAACUGCACCACGGUCUGGAAUAGGGUGAAGGAUGGAGGGAGAGACGGAGAAGGAGACAGCGGAGGAGAAGGAGAGUGAUGAGACACAGCCGUUUGCUGGGGAAGGGGCAGGGCGACUUCGUCAGAAUGGAGAGUCCUCCGAGGACGACCAGGACCUACCCAUCAUGCACUGGGAAGACCUGAGCCUGAGGAUCGCUGAACUGGAGAAACAGGAGGAGGAGAGGAGAGAAAGGGCAAAGAGUACGAGUGGGUCGGAACAGGGGAGUGUGUCAGGGGGCUGGGCGGAAGAGAGGCAGGGUGGGCUGUGGAGGAAAGAUGAAUGGGAGGAUGAGGAGGACUAUGGAAGAUGUCGAGUCACGGUCGUCUCGUCUAGAUUCCACAACCAAAAAAAUCUACAGUUAUGCUACAUCAACAACAGUGAGAGUGAGGAUGAGGAGGGGGCUGUCAAAGAAGUGAGCGAGUCCCUCCUGUUUUAUAGUAUAGCGCAAAACGGGGACAAAAACCUACACACAUUGCGGCACUCUAGGGCCAAAUAUGAAGAUAUGCAUAUGUACCCAUGCCAUGCGUUUGUUUUGUUUCAUGUUUGUCAGGGUUCUAUAGGACCAGGUAGCUAUGGUUACCACCCCUCUGGCCUGAAGUUGGAAGUGAGGGCCGCGCUGAGUGCGCUCAAAAACAAGCUGUUAGCUGAACAGAAAGAGGAGGUGAGAAGAAUGGAGAAGUGUGGACUGUGGAGUGAAAGAAAUAGGGUUGGAAGAAAUAGAGGGAAACAGUGGGCAUGUGGUGGGAGAGAGGUAAGGAUUGGUAUGUGUAAAUAAUUCCUGUGUGUCACAGCACCUUGCCUGCAGUAGUGUGAUCACUAAGAGGACGCAUCUGGAACACUGUGACCUGCAGACCUGCUCAAUACAGCAGCUCAACUCCCUCAGGACCUCACUCAACCACGACAUACACGACCUGAGCUCAGAGUUGGUGGGUCACCUGUUGAUAAGGGACCAGCUGAGAACCAAACAGGAUGCCAUGCUCCUGGACGUACAGGAUCUGACAUAACCCUCACCCACAGGUGCACAGGACAGGAAGUCGUUGUGCUCAACAGUAGAUAAAGUGAUGCUGUCCAAGAUAUGCCACUAUGAGACUGUCAGAAGUGUUGCCAUAAUAUCCUACUUAACAUAUGAUUCUUCGAUAAAAAGGAGAAAUGUUGAUGAACACUAAUGAGCACCAUCUUGGACCGGCAUCAUAAAGCAAUCCACAUUACACAGGCAUGGUAUGGAUGCUCAGCUAUGAAAAGCCAACUGACAUUUACUUCUGAGGUACUGACCUGUUGCACCCUCUACAAUCACUGUGAUUAUUAUUGGACCCUGCUGGUCAUCAAUGAAUGUUUGAACAUCUUGAAGAACAAUCUGGCCAUGUACUCUUAUAAUCUCCACCCGGCACAGCCAAAAGGGGACUGGCCACCCCUCAGAGCCUGGUUCCUCUGUAUGUUUCUUCCUAUGUUCCUGCCUUUCUAUGGAGUUUUUCCUGGCCACCGUGCUUCUACAUCUGCAUUGCUUGCUAUUUGGGGUUUUAGGCAGGGUGUCUGUAUCUACUUACAUCUACUGAUGUAAAAAGGGCUUUAUAAAUAAAUUUGAUAGUUAACUUUCUCCUCAUCAUCCCCCCUGAUCUCGAAUAGCAUAAUCUUCAUUAUCAUCAUUAGUGGAGAGAGUACUGUAUUAGGACCUAUUUUGAUUGAUGCAUGCACUUAAUUAACAAAAAAGAUUUCAUAUCAGAAAGAGGAGUUUAAGCCAUUUGGGAUGUUUGAAACAUUUCUAAUAUCUGACUCCUAGUCCAUUGCCAGUGGUAAGAAAAAUCAUAUUUUUCUUGGGAGAACCUUCAGACGGAGAAUCUUCACAGCCAUAGUUUAAACCAUUUACAUAUCUGAGGGAUACCAGCUUUUCCACAAGUUUCAUUGUGUAAAAAUUGCAAUAUCCUUGACUUAUUAAUGUAAGGGAAUUGUACACUUACAGCCUGUGUAAAACAAGCUAAGGGGUUACAUAUAGGGGUUACAUAUUCAGGCUAAAGGGAACUGUCCUGUAACAAUUUGGUGGAGAAGCUUCUUUGUUUCUAAUUUAGGAGAAUUAUCCUCUUGUAUAGUUGCUGAUGUAAGGGAAUUGUCCACUUAUAUUGCCUAUAAGCCUUUGGGUAUUGACAUGUAUGUUGACUCAUGUGAUAUACCUAGGUGGUUUGCGUCCAUAACUAUAACUACUAUCAGUAUAGGAAACCACAAAGCUGCUAUUGUGUGAUUCCAUGUGAGCAAAGCCCGAAAAUAAUUUUGUAUCUCAGAUUGUUCUGGCAUUUAUCACAUAGAAACGUCAUUGGGAAGAUUAAUGUUUGAUAGGCUUUUUACAUUUGUGAAACAGACCAUUUUUUGGAAAAUUAUUAUAGUGGUCAUUUUAGGCCCUUUUUAGAAAUAUUGAUUUAAACAAUAUACUCUACAAGUACAUCAACGUUCCAGAGUGGGCUCUCUGCUACCUUAAACCAGUGUCAAUUUCUAUGUAUUAAAUUGAUAAUUUCUUCAAAAUUAGCAGAGCCCGCCUUGGAAAUAUGUGUUUGAAGAGUAUAUUGUUCUGAACAAGAUGUCUAAAAAUAAGCUAAAUCAAAAAGGGUACCUUUGAGAUGUUGAUAAUAUUUUUAAUGUUGAAUAAAUUAAUGGGAUUUUUUUUUCUCAGAAUACAGCCAUAAUCCAUAUUUGAAAGCACACUAUAAGGAGUAUAAUUACACCAAGAUGGCUGUACCAUGUACGGUUCACAGAUUAUAGGGUCUAAAAGAGCCUAAAAUGGCCACAUUCAUCAGAUUUUCAAAAAAAUGGUUUGUGAUACAAAUGUAUAAGGCAUGUUAAACAUCCUUCCUCUCAAUUAAGUUUUUAUGUGAGAAUUGCCAGAACAUUUUGAGAUAAAUUGGGCCAUGCUGGAGUGGAAUUGCCUUGUUCCAUUCAUUAUGUCUAGGUAAAAGAGAUUUUCCUGACCAUGCGACCUCACCAGUAGCAAAAACCAGGCUCUAGUUACUGACCCCCUCUUUCCUGUUCAAGUUAUAUAGUCAGGUAAAACUCCUGGCCAUAUGACCUAUUGUGCCUUGUCAAGCAAUUAUUAAAUGUCGUACUUUCACAAUCUUGUGUAUUUGUAGGUUGAUGGAAGAAUGAACUGUGAUAGCAGAUGCAUAGCUAUGGGAAGGGGAUGAGUGCCCUGAAGUAACAUUUAACUUUUUUGUCUCUGAAGUAUUUUUCAGUAUUUACUUUAAAAAAAAAAUUUGCAUUCAUUAAACCUAUUUCAUGUUGUGUGCUGUCA